rnacentral:lncRNA from 1 species
GCCCAAAAAUAGCUAGUAAUGCACCAAUCAAGUUCUCCUUAUAAGAAAAGGAGUCUGUGUGUGGCUGCACAGAAACCGCUGCUGUGGCCAGUGGGAUUUGCUGAAGUUGCAUGUUUGGACUGUUGCCUCCUUCCAUUUUUGUUCAUUGGAGUGUUUUUCAGCCUCCUGGAUGUCAGAACUCUUCAAAGAGGCCUGAACUCUGCUGAAACCAUGCCAUUCGUGACUUGGUACCACUUCUUCCCAUCCAUCCUGCUUUGCUUGCUUAAAAUUCUCUGCAGCUUGGCUGCUUUUCUUCCUCUGCCGAGUUACGCUGAGAAAGGAUAGGCACCACAGGCAGAGGCGUAGAUAAGCCAAUAUUUCUAGCAAGUUAGUGGAGCAGCAAGAUCAUAUUCCUCCAAGAUGACGCCAGAGGCCCACAGCUCCUGUCGCCGCCUGCCCUGCUCAACUGAGGUGGAGGGAAGCCCUUGGCCCAGGGAGAACCUCUAGCAGCAGCAGCGCCUUACUAGCGACCAAGACACUCCUC